ACUACGGGUGGCAGCAGUGAGGAAUAUUGGUCAAUGGGCGAGAGCCUGAACCAGCCAAGUCGCGUGAGGGAAGACGGUCCUAUGGAUUGUAAACCUCUUUUGCCGGGGAGCAAAAAGCGGUACGUGUACCGCAUCGAGAGUACCCGGAGAAAAAGCAUCGGCUAACUCCGGGCCAGCAGCCGCGGUAAUAAGGAGGAUGCGAGGGUUAUCCGGUUUUAUUGGGGUUAAAGGGUGCGCAGGCGGCGAGUUAGUUCAGCGGUAAAAUUUCGGGGCUCAACCCCGACAAGCCGUUGAAACUGGCUUGCUAGAGUGGGCGAGAAGGAUGCGGAAUGCGUGGUGUAGCGGUGAAAUGCAUAGAUAUCACGUAGAACUCUGAUUGCGAAGGCAGCAUACCGGCGCCCAACUGACGCUCAGGCACGAAAGCGUGGGUAUCGAACAGGAUUAGAUACCCUGGUAGUC
rnacentral:rRNA from 1 species